rnacentral:lncRNA from 1 species
UGGGCCAAGUUCAGGGCUGGUGCUCUCGUUCAGAUAGAUUUAGCUGGUGGUGCAGAGAUCCGUGAGCUUGCUUUUACAGGACUUUAAUGAUAUAUAAAAGCAGCACGAGGUGCUCCUGACUGUGGAUUAAUUUGGAGAUGACUUUCUCUGUUGAAGAGUAGCAAGACUCUCGCGAGUUCUUAAAAAUGCACUUGUUUGGUAUGAGAAUGAAAAGCAGUGGCUGAAGAACCAAUCUUCAAUGGGCAAGCCUUCUCUGUGUCUGUUCUAACACGUGCCAUUUGGGAUCCCUUGGAAUCUUCAUGUACAGAACUGGUUGCUGCCUCGUUGAGUCGGUGGGGACAGAAUAGCUCCUGGUUGACAGCAUGGGUUGUGCAGAAGGACGGAUCCUGCAGACAUCAAUAUCUGGCUUUGAGUGGCACAAAGAAAUAAAGGAAUGUGGAUUCAGACCUCACUGGGAUGCUUGGCAAUUCUAAUUCUACCCCAGACUGCAAAUGGACACACAACUGUUGUGACUUUUGUUGAAGAGGAGAAGGAUGGCACAGAAGCUGGAUUCAGAAGCACACAGGUCUGGGGAUGCAGGCUUCGGCCAGCCUGAUGCAAGGAAAGACUGCCAUCUCGUGGUCAGCUCAAUCCUGGCACCUUGGUGAGGGACCAGGCUGCAGAAAACCAGGCUUGGGGAGGAAACGGUGCUGCAAACUGGAUUUCUGCCGGACAGUGUGGAUGCCCUUAGAAAACACCCAGAAAAGAGCUGAGUGCCCCCCAAGGCUGUUUCCCAUAUAAGGUUCAUGACCCCCAGUGAGGAUGAAACUGCCUGCAAGGUUUGUCUUCUCUCCUGUUCACUGGUUACUCAGCCAGGCUGAUUCAUGGGCUUCUCAAAGGAGCUUGUUUAUCAGAAGCUUGUCUAAGACACCACGUCUUCCAGAAAAUCUCACCUGAGUCACCAACAGAUUCCUCUAAGAGUCUGUAAGCCACUCCUGACCAGCAGGAAACCCCAACAGAGGCAAAGAAUAGGAAAUUAAAUAUUUCGUCAAGAAAAAAUGAGAGGCUGGGUGCGGUGGCUCAUGCCUAUAUCCCAGCACUUUAGGAGGCCUAAGCGGGCGGAUCAUUUGAGGUCAGGAGUUUGAGACCAGCCCGGCCAACAUGGUGAAACCCUGUCUCUACUAAAAAUACAAAAACAAUUAGCUGGGCAUGGUGGUGGGUGCUUGUAAUCCCAGCUACUGGGGGAGGCUGAGGCGGGAGAAUCGCUGAAACCCAGGAGACAGAAGUUGCUGUGAGCCGAGACCACACCACUGCACUCCAGCCUGGGUGAGAGUGAGACUGUCUCAAAAAAAAAAAAAAAAAAAAAAAAAAAGCAAGAAAGCUCCCAUUUAGAUCACUCGGACAAAAGAUUUCUUUUUGUGCCAAAAUGUUCCACUAGGCUUCCAGUUUUUACCACAUAACUUGACAGUCAUGCAAGACUUAAGUGUAUUUUCAGCUAUCCUUUCUCUUUCAUUUAUUUCUGUUUAAUAAGCUCUGUCCAUUGAUUCUAGUUAGUACAUUAUAUAUCUUUUUAAUCACUUACCUGCAGUGAGCAUCUUUCCAUGUUGGUAAAUACCGGUGCUACUACUGUUACUACUGAGUACUUAUUCCAUGUCAAAUCCUCUGCCAAGCAUUUUCAAGCAUUGUCUCAUUGCCUUCUUGCCACAACCCUAUGAAGAGGCCGUGACUGUCCUCAUCCAAUGGAGGAGGAAGCUAAGGCUGAGAGCAAUUAACACAGCUGUGAGUGAACAGGUAGGAUUUAAAGCCAGGCAGUAUGAUUCCGGAGCCUACGCUUUUAAUCACUGUUAUUUUACUCUCCUCCACUCCCCAAAUAUACUGCAUUUUUUUUGUGUGAUUGUAUUGUAUUAUUCUGUUCUAGAUGUACUAUGAUUGAUUUCGUCCAUGCUGUAAUUACACUUCGGUUGGUUUUAGUUUUCACUACUACAAAUGGUGUUGCAACGAACGUCUUUGUGGGCAAAUCUUUACAGGUCAUGAAUGACCCUUUCCUUAGGACACAUAUUGCCAAGCUGAUCUCCACAAAGGUAGUACACGCCCAUCAUAUUGUACAAAAGUAUUCUUUGCCCUCCACCCUUGACACUGGGUUGCAUCUAUUUUUUAAUUAUUGCUGUUAGGAUAGAAGAACAAGGCUGACACAUUGUUGUUUCAGUUUGUAAGCUAGAACACUUCAUUGCACAUUAGCUGUAUUCCUUAGGUGUAUUUCUUGUUCAUGUCCUUUGCCCUCUGAGGUUUGUCUCUUUAUCACAGAUUUGAGAACUUUUUGUAUAUGUCUUAUAUUUUUAGAAUUAAUAAAUUUAGGGCAUAAACCCAAUAGAAAGAAAAACAGACUCAUUCUGUGUUUUGCAUAGCAUCUUACCUCCUAUCCUUCCUCCACAUUGAUAGUAAAGCAUAAGAAAUGAU